UACGGAGGGUGCGAGCGUUGUCCGGAAUCACUGGGCGUAAAGGGCGCGUAGGCGGCGCGGAUAGUCGGCGGUGAAAGCCCGGAGCUCAACUCCGGGUCGGCCGUCGAUACUUCCGGGCUUGAGCACUGUAGAGGCAGAUGGAAUUCCGGGUGUAGCGGUGGAAUGCGUAGAGGUCCGGAAGAACACCGGUGGCGAAGGCGGUCUGCUGGGCAGUUGCUGACGCUGAUGCGCGACAGCGUGGGGAGCAAACAGG
rnacentral:rRNA from 1 species